CAAAAAUGAAAAGAUUUUCGCUAAAAGCCAAAAAGUGGUCAACAGUCAAACCUCAUGACCUGGCCGUUUGAUGAAUGCGAAAAAAUUAAACGCUGCUUUUAGAGUGGACUGAUGAGAAAAAUUCGAACCGAAGAUUUCUCCAUCUUCUGGCGCUCUCUUCUUUCAGAUUACGCCAAACUAACUAACAACAAUUUCAUGGGAGAUUUAGGCUGGACAUUGAUGUGCAUUUAAACGGCAGGGUGAACAAGUGGAGAAAUAGCAGGAUUUAGCCGAAGAUGCUAUGUAGUGAAAAGGAUCAGUCAACUAGAAUUGUCAGUUAGUAAUCUGAUAUGGACUCAGUAGACAAGUCAGCACAAAUACGCUGGCAAUGAAUGUCAGUUGCCAAUCCCAACAGGGUUUUGGGGGCUUUCGAAGAUAUAUGGUGGGCCUAUGGAAAAUACAUAAAGGAGAGAUGAGUUAGCACCCUCUUCAAUUGUGGAAUGGCAGGAGUUGAAUGUUUGUUUCUCUGGUGGCUGAGGACAGGAUCACAGGGAGAACUGCAGAUUCUUCUGAAUAUUGUUCACAUAUGCAGCUGGCCUAUCUAUUUAUACAAACGUGUACACAUAUAUAUAUAUCUAAAAUUAUAACAAACCAACAAUGAUGUGCUAGCUGGCAGUACUAAAAUGGGAUUGGGUUAUGCAUGUGAUUUUAUCACGUGUUGUUGA